ACACGACCGUACCGCAAACCGACACUGGUGCGCGAGAUGAGUAUUCUAAGGCGCUUGAGAGAACUCGGGAGAAGGAACUCGGCAAAUUGACACCGUAACUUCGGAAGAAGGUGUGCCUUUAGUAGGUGAAGGGAUUUACUCCUGGAGCCCAAUGAGGUUGCAAAAAAUCGGUGGCUGCGACUGUUUAUUAAAAACACAGCACUCUGCAAACACGAAAGUGGACGUAUAGGGUGUGACGCCUGCCCGGUGCUGGAAGAUUAAAUGAUGGGGUGCAAGCUCUUGAUUGAAGUCCCAGUAAACGGCGGCCGUAACUAUAACGGUCCUAAGGUAGCGAAAUUCCUUGUCGGGUAAGUUCCGACCUGCACGAAUGGCGUAACGAUGGCCACACUGUCUCCUCCCGAGACCCAGCGAAGUUGAAAUGUUUGUGAUGAUGCAAUCUCCCCGCGGAAAGACGGAAAGACCCCAUGAACCUUUACUGUAGCUUUGUAUUGGACUUUGAACAGAUCUGUGUAGGAUAGGUGGGAGGCUUUGAAGCAGGGUCGCUAGAUCUUGUGGAGCCAACGUUGAAAUACCACCCUGGUGUGUUUGAGGUUCUAACCUAGGUCCAUUAUCUGGAUCGGGGACAGUGCAUGGUAGGCAGUUUGACUGGGGCGGUCUCCUCCCAAAGCGUAACGGAGGAGUUCGAAGGUACGCUAGGUACGGUCGGACAUCGUGCUAAUAGUGCAAUGGCAUAAGCGUGCUUAACUGCGAGACUGACAAGUCGAGCAGAUGCGAAAGCAGGACAUAGUGAUCCGGUGGUUCUGUAUGGAAGGGCCAUCGCUCAACGGAUAAAAGGUACUCUGGGGAUAACAGGCUGAUACCGCCCAAGAGUUCAUAUCGACGGCGGUGUUUGGCACCUCGAUGUCGGCUCAUCUCAUCCUGGGGCUGUAGCCGGUCCCAAGGGUAUGGCUGUUCGCCAUUUAAAGAGGUACGUGAGCUGGGUUUAAAACGUCGUGAGACAGUUUGGUCCCUAUCUUCCGUGGGCGCUGCAGAUUUGAGGAAGCCUGCUCCUAGUACGAGAGGACCGGAGUGGACGCACCUCUGGUGUAUCGGUUGUCACGCCAGUGGCAUUGCCGAGUAGCUAUGUGCGGAAGAGAUAACCGCUGAAAGCAUCUAAGCGGGAAACUCGUUUCAAGAUGAGAUCUGCCGGGGCCUUGAGCCCCCUAAAGAGUCGUUCAAGACCAGGACGUUGAUAGGUCAGGUGUGGAAGCGCAGUAAUGCGUUAAGCUAACUGAUACUAAUUGCUCGUGCGGCUUGACCCU
rnacentral:rRNA from 1 species